GGUGCUUGCAGAUUUCUUCAGGGGUCGGAGGCCAACCACCACAUGGCAAUAGUCUGAAGACUGCAUUUGAAAUAUGCCUUCAGCAUAGUUAACUACCUUGCUAAACUUGUCAUGUUGUGUGUAGAUACUGCCCCCGUGCUUGGCAAACUUGUCAUGAGGCAUCCUUUUGUUGCCUUUCCUACUGUUGACAAGACCAGGGUGACCAUCAGGGAGCAGAAGGAGGUCACCGUCCAGCUAAUUAACUACACCAAGAGCGGGAAGAAGUUCUGGAACUUGUUUUACCUGCAGCCUAUGUGGGUUCAGAAGGUAGCGAAAUGUUAUUGAAAUGCUGAAUUUGUUUUGGAGCUUGCAGACUUUGAAGACAUGAGCUGCGAAAUGAUAUAUGGUCAGGUGCCCCCACCAGUGGAAGAAGAUCCAGUGUCGAAACAACCCUGCUAUCCCAGCCUCUGUUCCAUAUCGACGCCCUCCGCUGCAAUAUGUCCCAAAAUUCAGAACUAGUCUUCUGCAAGCGCUCACAAGGGUUUUGAUACAAAAUUGUGCAUGGUGCCAUGGUAUCGGAUAGGCCAGAAUUUCAACAGGGACAAUAGAUAGUGCAUCGGGCAGGGGCGCCGGUACCUUUCACGAGUAGCAGAGCCGGAGUCGUCUGGACGAAGAAGUAGAAGAUCGGGGGCUGCCUGUACGAAGAUCGGGAGCUGCACCACCACUAACAGAAGCAGCAGAGUCAGAGGAAGACGGCAACAGCAGAAGAGGACGGAGUGGCGGAAUACAGCGCGCCGUCAGCCGUGGAGCCGCCGCCCGUCGAGGUGCGCGCAGGUAAGCAGGGGCGGCGCAAAUUGGCAGCCGCGGCUCAGGUGGGCCUUCGUCGCCGGCUGAACACCACGGUGGCUGGGGCGUGCGGUGCAGCGGCGAGGGAGGUGGAAGAACCAGACGGUUGCUUCGAGUUGGAUUAGGAGCCGGGAAAGGAAAGAGUUGCAGUGUUGCCCGGCGAGGGUCUCAAACUCUCAAUUCAUGCUUAAUUAAGCUUUGGCGCGAAGCUUCAAAUGCACGCAAGCAAAUCCGAUUUUCUCACGGAUCACAUCACAUACGCAUCCACGGUUUGGAAUCGGCCUGAGCUCAUCAAUAAAAGGGAAGGCAGCCAACCUGCUGCCUUUGCCCUCGCCUCGCUCUGACUUCUCUUCUCGCACUUCCGAUCUUCCCCAUCGUCUCCUUCACCAAUCACCAGCCCUUACCCAGCGAAGCGACCGGCGUCCCCUGUUCCCUUCCCAUGGAGAUUGCCUACCCCUACGGCGGGGAGCUCACCAGGAAGCACGGCUCCGUGACAGGCCAGCCGUUUGCCGCCAAGAUCGACAUCAUGUCCGGCCAGAAGCGCGCGAGGGAGAUGCAGAUCCUUCGGCAGCGGUUCCAAGCAGAGCUCGUCGCCGUCCGUGGCCUCCUCCACAAGGCGGCCGCCGUGCUAAUUCCCGCCUCGUCCCCGUUGGCUCCCCGCGUCAAGGAGAGUCGUCCAGGGUUCUUGGCCGAGGAGCCGCCGGCCAAGAAGAGGAAGGCGUCUCCUCCCGUUCCUGUGAUCAAUCGCAAGAAGGCGCCAACGAAG